UUUCGUGUUAAAACAUUGGACGCGGUGUUAAUUGUUUCAUUAUAUAACUGUUAAGAUCGAGAAUUAACCAAACUAAACAUCAUCAUUCUUGUACUCAAAUAUUAUUGACAAGAAAACUUAUGAACGAAGGCUCGACAAUUGUUUGGAUAAACAGCAUCCCCGUUUAAAGCUUUUCGCCAAAAAAGUAAUCCACAGUUCGCGGAGUUUUGUUACGACAGGAGCUCUCAGUAUGUAUUACGAGUGUGUUUUAAGAAGUAUCUGCAGUGACCGUGGAAAUAAAAUUAUUUGUGUUCGAAAUUGCAGUGGCUGUUUUAAUCCAGUUUUGGUAAUUUGACCAGUGAUUGGAAUAAGAGGAUUAUGCUGCUCACAUUCUACGUGCAAAUUCACAGACAGUGUCUCCGAGUUGUGACAAAACCAUAGGUUCCGGGCAAAGAAUCUACAUCAAAUAAUACUAGGAACUUCCGUUGUGACAACCCAAUUUCGAGAUAAAAGUGCAGUUACAUAAGUGCGUGACUUAAUCCAUGAAAAUUUUUGACUAAAUCGUGAUUGAUAGCAAAACACUUGGUCUUGUGAUCUGAUAAUUCUCUCGCUACUUAGAGCAGCUUUACACCUCCGCUCUUUACUCUUACAUUUCGUGUAGUUUUUCCCGGAUUAAAAAACUAAAAUCAAUAUUAGAGACUAUUAAAAAGUCAAGGGCAAUACGUCAAGGCGAAAUCUGGCGCCUAAAUACAACAAGGAUUACGUAAAUAAAGAGAGUUCAUGGCAUUCAUGUGGGGUCCGGGCUCCGGGUUGUAGGUUCACCAGUUUUAACUUAUUUUUAAGAUAUCUACAGAAAAUAACAAGUUGAAAAAAAUAAAUAGAAUAAAAAUACUAGAAACAUUUGUUAUGCAAUUAAAAAUGCUAUAAAACAGGAAAGAAUAAACAAAAUCGUCAUAUAAAAUUUCGACAUGGAAUGUCAAUAUGAAAUUACUUAUGAACAAUAUUGUGGUUAUCUUAAUUGAAAACAACUUCUCCUCUAUGACAAAAAUGUCUCCGACAGUUGAACAAUAUUAAUUGUCAUUGUAUUGAUUAAGUUAUUGUUGAAUAAACCUUUUAUUUUAGUAAACCUCGAACUAAUUUUUUUACGAAGUAGUACGUACUUGACAUUUUUUAUACUAAAAUUUUGAGAUUCUUUAUCAUGUAACUACUGUUUGUAAGUAAAAGUAUACAAUGUAGUUUAAGUAGGUAUGUAAAUAAAAGUACAAUAG